rnacentral:rRNA from 1 species
GACGAACGCUGGCGGCGUGCUUAACACAUGCAAGUCGAACGGAAAGGCCCUGCUUUUGUGGGGUGCUCGAGUGGCGAACGGGGGAGUAACACGUGAGUAACCUGCCCUUGACUGUGGGAUAACUUCAGGAAACUGGGGCUAAUACCGGAGAGGAGCUCCUGCUGCACGGGGGGGGUUGGAAAGUUUCGGCGGUGGGGGAUGGACUCGCGGCUUAUGAGCUUGUUGGGGGGGUAGUGGCUUACCAGGGCUUUGACGGGUAGCCGGCCUGAGAGGGUGACCGGCCACAUUGGGACUGCGAUACGGCCCAGACUCCUACGGUCGGCAGAAGUGGGGAAUAUUGCACAGUGGGCGGAAGCCUGAUGCAGCAACGCCGCGUGCGUGAUGACGGCCUUCGGGUUGUAAACCGCUUUCGCCUGUGACGAAGCGUGAGUGACGGUAAUGGGUAAAGAAGCACCGGCUAACUACGUG